ensembl:lncRNA
UGUUGGAGUAACUAAACAUAUAUAUUAUAUAUGCUGGUAUAUUGGCUCAUUUCAAAUCGGAGUGAUUGUUGGGCAGCCACUGACUUGCAUUUUAUGAAUCACCAAGGACCAUGGUUUCAGCUAAAAGUCUUCUUUACUGUUCUACUCAAGAAAAGAAAAAGUCACCUACAUCUUGCAUAUCCUGAGGCAAUUGAAGAACAGUUGGAGAGGAGAAGAUAAAAAAGGAAGGGAAGGAAAAAGCAGACGAAAGGUCACCAGGAUGUGAGGCUUCUAUUAUCAGCAAUCUUCUCCUGGCUUCCACAGGCAGCUUGUUUCUAAACUGCCACCUAGCCAAGCAUGAAGGGAGUAUAAUUUUAGCCAAUCUCCCAGUAGCUUGGGUGUACAGAAAGGCAUUGUAGGCCAGCAAAAUGGUCACAAUAGAGGCACUGGCCACUGAUAAAGAUCUGCAUAGGUAAUGCCAGGACAGCAAUAAGUGAAUUUUUUUGCGUCCCUGCAUUCAGACGGCACUACCUAACAGCUUUGACCACUAUUUGUCCCUUUGGCUUUGAAAGUGAUGGAUAGAAUUUUUGUGCAGUAUAAUUGCAAGGGCCAGGGCAUGUGUGGAAAUUGAUUAAUUCCCUGAGCGAAAAAUGCAUUACCCUGGAUACUUCUUUACUGUUUAUCAGGCCAUGCAGCCAAAGGCUUUGUUUGCUCUCUUCAACUUUCCCCAGCUACCCCUAACAGGGCCUUUUCAAGGGGUCUCUGCUUUGGCUUCUAGUCAUUUUGGUAGUAUUUGUUGUGCUACACCUUUGGUAUCAAAGGAAACAGUGAGGGCAGAAAACAGAGACAAACACAUAAGCUCUUUAAUCACAUUUAUUAUGCAUCUUGUAAGAAACGUGUUAAAGGGACCGUUC